rnacentral:rRNA from 1 species
ACGGAAGGCAGCAGUGGGGAAUAUUGCACAAUGGGCGAAAGCCUGAUGCAGCGACGCCGCGUGAGUGAAGAAGUUAUUCGUAACGUAAAGCUCUAUCAGCAGGGAAGAAAAUGACGGUACCUGACUAAGAAGCCCCGGCUAACUACGUGCCAGCAGCCGCGGUAAUACGUAGGGGGCAAGCGUUAUCCGGAUUUACUGGGUGUAAAGGGAGCGUAGACGGCAUGGCAAGUCUGAAGUGAAAUCCCGGGGCUCAACCCUGGAACUGCUUUGGAAACUGUCAAGCUAGAGUGCAGGAGAGGUAAGCGGAAUUCCUAGUGUAGCGGUGAAAUGCGUAGAUAUUAGGAGGAACACCAGUGGCGAAGGCGGCUUACUGGACUGUAACUGACGUUGAGGCUCGAAAGCGUGGGGAGCAAACAGGAUUAGAUACCCUGGUA